rnacentral:sRNA from 1 species
GUGUGAAGGGGACUGCCAAGUCAAGUGCGGGGCUGACUGCAUGGAAAGAAUUAAUGGAACUUGUUUUGAUACUGGGGAGUAUAGCAUAUGGUCAGCAUGGACUUGUACCAAAAACUGCUUGGAACCACGCUUGCAUAGGACUAGAGUUUGUCUCAAGGCACCUGGUGGAUUAUCAUGCCAGGGAGAUUCUGAACAAUGGAAGACUGGAUACUGCUAUGUAAAUACCAC